rnacentral:rRNA from 1 species
AGUGAACGCUGGCGGUAGGCCUAGCACAUGCAAGUCGAACGGCAGCACAGUAAGAGCUUGCUCUUACGGGUGGCGAGUGGCGGACGGGUGAGGAAUACAUCGGAAUCUACUUUUUCGUGGGGGAUAACGUAGGGAAACUUACGCUAAUACCGCAUACGACCUACGGGUGAAAGCAGGGGAUCUUCGGACCUUGCGCGAUUGAAUGAGCCGAUGUCGGAUUAGCUAGUUGGCGGGGUAAAGGCCCACCAAGGCGACGAUCCGUAGCUGGUCUGAGAGGAUGAUCAGCCACACUGGAACUGAGACACGGUCCAGACUCCUACGGGAGGCAGCAGUGGGGAAUAUUGGACAGUGGGCGCAAGCCUGAUCCAGCCUACCGCGUGGGUGAAGAAGGCCUUCGGGUUGUAAAGCCCUUUUGUUGGGAAAGAAAAGCAGCAGGUUAAUACCCCGCUGUUCUGACGGUACCCAAAGAAUAAGCACCGGCUAACUUCGUG